CCAUCUCCCAAGGCUAAAUACUACCUAGUGACCGAUAGUGAACCAGUACCGUGAGGGAAAGGUGAAAAGCACCCCGGAAGGGGAGUGAAAUAGAACCUGAAACCGUGUGCCUACAAGUAGUCAGAGCUCGUUAACGAGUGAUGGCGUGCCUUUUGUAGAAUGAACCGGCGAGUUACGAUCCCAUGCAAGGUUAAGUCGAUGAGACGGAGCCGCAGCGAAAGCGAGUCUGAACAGGGCGAAUGAGUAUGUGGUCGUAGACCCGAA
rnacentral:rRNA from 1 species